rnacentral:lncRNA from 1 species
CUCCAUACACUACCGAUUAAAUAUAACAACAUAAUAAUCUUCAUAAUUAGUAAUACAAAUGUCAUAUCCACAAACAGUUUCAAAAUCAAGAAAACACAAAACGAGAAAACGAAAAUUUACUUUUCUAAAAAAAUUCUCGUACUUCACACUGAACCACAACGAAUUCUAGCGAAAAUAAAAAGAAACUGGAAUCAAAUUGAGCCUUGUUAUUCCAAAACCCAACUCCCCUCAUUUACAGGCCACGAUUACUAAAAAAUAUAUUACUUAAGUCGCAUCAAGAUUUGCCUAAACAUGAAUUAAAGGUCGAAAAUCAAAGUCUAACAAAAUAUGAAUUCAUAAACACAAUCUCAUCGAUUGUCGAAAAAAGUAAAGCAUUGCAUAUACUGAUUUAAUGCAGUAAAAAGUAACAAUAACAAAUAUCAGACAAUUUAAUCACAAAAAGUGUAAAUGAAAUUGAAAAAUUAUUAUACCUCAGGAAUCCCUUUGUGGAAUUAGAUGUGAAAAGAUUGGAAUAUUAGCGAAAAUUAGGAAUUGAUUUUUAGUGAAUGGAAGUUGGAUUGCCUAAACUUGAACUAAAGGUCGAAAAUCAAAGUAAAACAAAAUAUUAACUCAUAAACACGACAAGAGGCACCUACAAAAUUCCAGCAAUUUAGUACUAAAUUUAAAUUUGCUUCAAAUCAAUACAUGAACCUCAAACAUAGAUUCAAUGUAAAUCACACACCGAUCAAAAUUUCCUUGUUAGAAAACUUGCUAAUGUAUAAGCCUCACAAAAAUUCACCAUAACAGAGAAGCAAAAAUAUAAAUCAAUUUAUUAAGAAAAAACUAAAAAAUCUAGCACUGUGAACUCAAUAAUCCAUCUAAAUUUCGGAAAAAAUUAACAAUAACAAAGAGCGUAAAUUAAAUUGGAAAAUUAUAUACCUUUCUUAAUUAAUAACAUAUAAAUUACACACAACUGUCAAUUUCACAAACUCAAAAUUAGAUCUGUACAUAUAAAAAGAUGAAAAAAAUCACAGCUAGAUGAAAAACCCGUUGGGAAUCGAACAAGACGACUUGAAGAAAGUUAGAACACAACCCACUAUACCUUUCGAUUAGAAAUCACAACAAGAUGAAGGAAGCCAAUGCACAUCGCGGCACGAUGAAGAAAUUGCAGUGUAGUCGUCUCUUUUGCCUCUUUUUUACUAUCUCAAGAAAGAAAAUGGAAAGCAAAGAAAUUGAAGUAAAGAAUGUACAAGA